AGGACGAACGCUGGCGGCGUGCCUAACACAUGCAAGUCGAGCGGAGGUAGUUGAUGGUAACUGAUAGCUACUUUAGCGGCGGACGGGUGAGUAACACGUGGGCAACCUGCCUCGAAGAGGGGGAUAACACCGAGAAAUCGGUGCUAAUACCGCAUAACAUACAAUUGCCGCAUGGUAAUUGUAUCAAAGGAGCAAUCCGCUUUGAGAUGGGCCCGCGGCUGAUUAGCUAGUUGGUAAGGUAAAGGCUUACCAAGGCGACGAUCAGUAGCCGACCUGAGAGGGUGACCGGCCACACUGGAACUGAGACACGGUCCAGACUCCUACGGGAGGCAGCAGUGGGGAAUAUUGCGCAAUGGGGGGAAAAACCCCUGACGCAGCAACGCCGCGUGGAGGAAGAAGGUCUUCGGAUUGUAAACUCCUGUCUUCCGGGACGAUAAUGACGGUACCGGAGGAGGAAGCCACGGCUAACUACGUGCCAGCCGCCGC
rnacentral:rRNA from 1 species